AUUGAACGCUGGCGGCAUGCCUUACACAUGCAAGUCGAACGGCAGCACGGGAGCUUGCUCCUGGUGGCGAGUGGCGAACGGGUGAGUAAUACAUCGGAACGUACCCUGAAGUGGGGGAUAACGUAGCGAAAGUUACGCUAAUACCGCAUAUUCUGUGAGCAGGAAAGAGGGGGAUCGCAAGACCUCUUGCUUUAGGAGCGGCCGAUGUCGGAUUAGCUAGUUGGUGAGGUAAAGGCUCACCAAGGCGACGAUCCGGUAGCGGGGUCUGGAGAGGAUGGAUCCGCCACACUGGGACUGAGACACGGCCCAGACUCCUACGGAGGCAGCAGUGGGGAAUUUUGGACAAUGGGCGCAAGCCUGAUCCAGCCAUGCCGCGUGAGUGAAGAAGGCCUGGUGUAAGCUCUUCGUGGGAAGAAAGUUAGCGACAGGAUAAUACCUUGUGCAGAUGACGGUACCGCAUAAGAAGCACCGGCUAACUACGUGCCAGCAC
rnacentral:rRNA from 1 species